UACGAAGGGGGCUAGCGUUGCUCGGAUUGACUGGGCGUAAAGGGCGCGUAGGCGGUUUGCACAGUUGGGCGUGAAAUUCCUGGGCUUAACCUGGGGGCUGCGUUCAAUACGUGUAGGCUUGAGUUCGGAAGAGGGUCGUGGAAUUCCCAGUGUAGAGGUGAAAUUCGUAGAUAUUGGGAAGAACACCGGUGGCGAAGACGGGUUGCUGGGCCGACACUGACGCUGAGUGCGCGAAAGCCAGGGGAGCAAACGGG
rnacentral:rRNA from 1 species